CAGGCAGUUCCAGGAGAGGCAUCCAGCCACAACAAAGCUCCCAGGAACCAGGGAGCUUUCUUCCCAGGGCUAUCUCGAGUGCGAGAACACUUUUUCCAGAAACCUCCCAGUAAGACUUCCUUUCACAUCUUAUUGGACAGAGGGACCACUGAAGGUGAGAAGGGACCACUCCCACCCAGGAUGCAGAUCUCUCACCCCGUGCUCGUCCACAGAUCCAGCCAGCAAGUCAAGGGUCAUCACCAAGAAGAAGGCAGCGAGGUCAUGUGUCUGAAGGUCAAACCUCAUGCUUUUUGAUCAGACAGGAUGGAGCAUUUUUAUGAAACAGGUCAAGUGGCCACGUAGCAAUUAGGGAGAAGACUAGGAAACAGGAAAGCAAAAUGUAAACUCGGUUGCGGGGUCACCAGCUUUCUACGAAGGGCACGAUCCCUGGGAGGCAACUGGCUGGGCAGGUCCAAAGGCUGC